UGCUAUACAUGCAGUCGUACGCAAAACUUUCUCUGAGUGUUCGCACUCGCUGAAAGAUUUGAGUGGCGAACGGGUGAGUAACACGUGGGUAACCUGCCCAGAAGAAGGGGAUAACACUUGGAAACAGGUGCUAAUACCGUAUAACAACAAAGACCGCAUGGUCUUUGUUUAAAAGAUGGUUCUGCUAUCACUUCUGGAUGGACCCGCGGCGUAUUAGCUAGUUGGUGAGGUAAUGGCUCACCAAGGCAAUGAUACGUAGCCGAACUGAGAGGUUGAUCGGCCACAUUGGGACUGAGACACGGCCCAAACUCCUACGGGAGGCAGCAGUAGGGAAUCUUCCACAAUGGACGAAAGUCUGAUGGAGCAACGCCGCGUGAGUGAAGAAGGUUUUCGGAUCGUAAAACUCUGUUGUUAGAGAAGAACGUGUGUGAGAGUAACUGUUCAUGCAGUGACGGUAUCUAACCAGAAAGCCACGGCUAACUACGUGCCAGCAGCCGCGGUAAUACGUAGGUGGCAAGCGUUGUCCGGAUUUAUUGGGCGUAAAGGGAACGCAGGCGGUUUUUUAAGUCUGAUGUGAAAGCCUUCGGCUUAACCGAAGUCGUGCAUUGGAAACUGGAAGACUUGAGUGCAGAAGAGGAGAGUGGAACUCCAUGUGUAGCGGUGAAAUGCGUAGAUAUAUGGAAGAACACCAGUGGCGAAAGCGGCUCUCUGGUCUGUAACUGACGCUGAGGUUCGAAAGCAUGGGUAGCAAACAGGAUUAGAUACCCUGGUAGUCCAUGCCGUAAACGAUGAAUGCUAAGUGUUGGAGGGUUUCCGCCCUUCAGUGCUGCAGCUAACGCAUUAAGCAUUCCGCCUGGGGAGUACGAUCGCAAGAUUGAAACUCAAAGGAAUUGACGGGGGCCCGCACAAGCGGUGGAGCAUGUGGUUUAAUUCGAAGCAACGCGGAAGAACCUUACC
rnacentral:rRNA from 2 species